rnacentral:pre_miRNA from 1 species
UGUUAAAAUUUUUUAUCCAUUUAUAUUGUUAAAAGUUGGCAUAGUUGGUGGAAUAACUAGGAAGUGAUAUAUAGCAUGUCACGUGAAUCUCAUGUUAACAUAUAUGGACCAAUUUUUAGCAAUAAAACUUAAUAAAGUUUUUAAUA